UUCUGCUCAAAGUGGAAAGAAAUUCAGUGAGUCCUUUCUUUCCAAGAGAAGUGGUACAAUAAGUCUCAAAGAAUCUCUCCCCUGAAGCCUGCACUCAGAGACCCCAGUGCCAAGGUCACCCACCUCUACAAUGGGCUGGAAUCACAGCCAUGACUAACUUCCAGACAGCAGCACAGCUAACCUUCCUGUAUAUUCUCACUCUACACCAAUAAGGAUGGACAUGCAGCCAGGCACAGUGGUUCACGUCUAAAAUCCAACUCCAGGGUUACCUAGCAAGUUCAAAGUCAGCCUUACCCUGCCUCAGAAACUUAAAAAAAUAAAUAAAGGAAAGACAAAAUUAAAUAAAAGCAUGGUGUUACAAGGUAAGGGAUUUUUUUAAUAGAUUAGCAUU
rnacentral:lncRNA from 1 species